GACGAACGCUGGCGGCGUGCUUAACACAUGCAAGUCGAACGGCAACGCCCUGCUUUUGUUGGGUGCUCGUGUGGCGAAAGGGUGUGUAACACGUGAGUAUCCUCCCCUUUACUUUGUGGUAACUUCAGGAAACUGUGGCUAAUACCUGAUAGGUGCUCCUGCUGCAUGGUGGGGGUUGGAACGUUUGGGCGGUUGGGGAUGGACUGGCGUCUUAUCAGCUUGUUGGUGGGGUAGUGGCUUACCAAGGCUUUGACGGGUAGCCGGCCUGGGAGGGUGACCGGCCACAUGGGGACUGAGAUACGGCCCAGACUCCUACGGGAGGCAGCAGUGGGGAAUAUUGAACAAUGGGCGGAAGCGUGAUGCAGCAACGCCGGGUGCGGGAUGAGGGACUUCGGGUUGUAAACCGCUUUGGCCUGUGACGAAGCGGGGGUGACGGUAAUGGGUAAAGAAGCACCGGCUAACUACGUG
rnacentral:rRNA from 1 species